rnacentral:rRNA from 1 species
UACGUAGGGACCAAGCGUUGUUCGGAUUUACUGGGCGUAAAGGGCGCGUAGGCGGUCAGCACAAGUCAGUUGUGAAAUCUCCGGGCUUAACUCGGAAAGGUCAACUGAUACUGUGCGACUAGAGUGCAGAAGGGGCAACUGGAAUUCUCGGUGUAGCGGUGAAAUGCGUAGAUAUCGAGAGGAACACCUGCGGCGAAGGCGAGUCCCUGGACAACACCUGACACUGAGGCACGAAAGCUAGGGGAGCAAACAGG